rnacentral:lncRNA from 1 species
GCGACUGCUACAAUUACGCCAAGGAUUUAGACAAUCAAGCUCUUAUCACACUUGAGAGUUACUGUGAUGUCACCAAUCCAUGCAAGAGUGCUCAAGUAAUUACUUCUCUUUCUUCUUAAUUAAUUCUUUUCAUAUUUGAGUGAGUCCUCCAUCAUAUAUGCCUCUAUAUCAUUUUGCAAAUUUCCUUGCGUAUUGACUAAUGCAUGUGUGCUUUUGUUGGUUUCAGGUGAUGUAGAAUUCUGAUAAGGGGAUGGAAGUAAUCUUAAAAAAUGUUUAAUUUGUUCUAGCUCUAAAUAUGAUGUUGAACAUAGUUGUUUCUCUAUCAGCGAAAAUGUGUUUUUCUGUUUGGCACUUGAGCAAUGAUGUAAAAAUUGCACGGGGAACCCUAUUUGGGCCCUCCUUUUAACCUGUAGCUGCUUUGUCUUUUCUUUGCAUUCGUAUCCAUUUUUUCACAUAACUUCAGCCCACGGGGUUGAGGUGUUUCUUUUGUACUGGAAAACUUAAACUGGAAACGGCUGAGGUGUUUAUUUUAUAACUGGACAGCUUAAGCUGGAAACGGCCUAAGUGUUUAUUUUAUAACUGGACAACUUAAGCUGGAAACAGACUUAGUGUUUAUUUUAUAACUUGACAACUUAAUUUGGAAAUGGCCUAAGUGUUUAUUUUAUAAUUAGACAACUUAAGCUGGAAACGACUUAAGUAAACUUAAGCUCUAGAGAUUAAGUAAAACUUCAGCUGAAGUUUUCCAGUACAAAAGAAACACUUCAACCCCGUGGGCUGAAGUUAUAUGAAAAAGUGGGUACGGAUGCAAACAAAAAGACAAAGCGACUACAGGUUAAAAUGUGGCAUAAAAAACGGGUACGACUGCAAAUGCCCCGACAAUGAUGAGGUUAACAUAUGAUUAUUUUCGGCCCAAGCCCAACUUAAUUUAUUUCAAAACAGGAUUAUGAUUGGCCAAAUUCUUGUAAGGAAAAUUAUACAUUGUAGCCGCUCAAAAAAAUAAUAAUCGCAAAAUAUAUUUGUUGUUGUACAUAUUAAACAAUAUUGUGGCUUCAAGCAAUGUACUGUUU